AUUAUUACAAGGGAACAAAUAGCUGAGGAUUGUACGGUACAAGUACCAUAGCAAAGUGCUCAUCCGAUUGUUCAUCAGGGGAUGAACUAGCAGUUAAGUGAACAAGUAAUGGAGAGGCAGUUUCUUCUGGAGAAGAAUUGGGUUCGUUAAAGAAGUCACCGGGGUUGACACCAGCAGCCGAUGAAAUUGGCGAUAGGCUACCAUUUGGUGAAUUCGAAUCAGUUGUACCCAAUGUUUCGGAACCGAUUGCAG
rnacentral:lncRNA from 1 species